UACGUAGGGUGCAAGCGUUAAUCGGAAUUACUGGGCGUAAAGCGUGCGCAGGCGGUUUUGUAAGUUUGUCGUGAAAGCCCCGGGCUCAACCUGGGAAUUGCGAUGAAGACUGCAAGGCUUGAAUCUGGCAGAGGGGGGUAGAAUUCCACGUGUAGCAGUGAAAUGCGUAGAGAUGUGGAGGAACACCGAUGGCGAAGGCAGCCCCCUGGGUCAAGAUUGACGCUCAUGCACAAAAGCGUGGGGAGCAAACAGG
rnacentral:rRNA from 1 species